GACGAACGCUGGCGGCGUGCUUAACACAUGCAAGUCGAGCGGACAGGCCCUGCUUUUGUGUGUUGCUCGAGUGGCGAACGGGUGAGUAACACGUGAGUAACCUCCCCUUGACUUUGGGAUAACUUCAGGAAACUGCGGCUAAUACCGGAUAGGAGCUCCUGCUGCAUAGUGGUGGUUGGAAAGUUUCGGCGGUUGGGGCUGGACUCGCGGCUUAUGAGCUUGUUGGUGGGGUAGUGGCUUACCAAGCCUUUGACGGCUAGCCGGCCUGAGAGGGUGACCGGCCACAAGGGGACUGAGGUACGCCCCAGACUCCUACGGGAGGCAGUAGUGGGGAACAUUGCACAAUGGGCGCAAGCCUGAUGCAGCAACGCUGCGUGCGGGAUGACGGCCUUCGGGUGGUAAACCUCUGUCGCCUGUGACGAAGCGUGAGUGACGGUAAUGGGUAAAGAAGCACCGGCUAACUACGUG
rnacentral:rRNA from 1 species